CCCAUGUCUGCUCUGGGAGGGCAAGUUGUGCGAGGCUCAGGUGGCCAGAGACAACACACCUGGCAAGUUCAGACCUGCUUCCCCAGCAGGAGGCUUAGUCACAGGAAUCUCCCCGGAGCAUUCCAUCACCCACAGGGAAGCAGUGGCGGGUGGGGUGCCAGCGCUCAGGGGUCUGAAACUCCCCAUCACAGGAUGCACGAGUGCUAGGGUUGCUGGUCGUCUGGGACACCUGAGAUUUGCAACACAUCGGACUGGCAGCACAAGAUCAGAUGCUAAGGUCUGUGUGAAAACGAGAAGUCACAGGUCACUGCGAGAAGUCCCUCCCAUGGGGCCCUGCACAGCCUCGGGCUCCAGGCCAGAAAGAUGGGAAGGUGAGACAGAAGUGUCUGCAGACACGUCUAGACCUGCGAGCAGGUGGACAUGCACCGGCCACUCCAGUGGGUGUCCAGGGGACACGAAGCCGGUUCCCAGAGUCUGGGGUUGAAGGAGAGACUGUAAGAGGUGCACCAUGGGGGAGGGGGGGCUGUUAUGGAAACCCCCUGGCAUCAGCGGUGACCCCUGGUUAUGCCAAGUCCCUGCAUAUGGAGCCUCCUUCGGGAAGAAUGGACCCCGACGUCCCACCUCUUGGGGUCGCUGUGGGUUCGAGGACAUGGCUCAUCCAGCCACAACACACACCCUCUCAGACAAGUCCCGACUGGACCGCGCGCCGAGAACAGGCAUCGAGGGAGCUAGCCUGGCCCAAACCACGGCCUGGAAGCCCCCGAAACGAGGAUCCCUCUCCUCCAACCUCCUAAGCUGGUCCUGUCACCACCCGCUCCCCUACCCAAGGGAGAGCUCGCGGCUCAGCCCCGAGGCGAGGCCGGGGCCAACGACCUCAGGGAGCCCAGGCUGAGAGUCCCUGCCUCCACACCGCCCCUGGACGGCCGCCAUCGGGAACGCCCACUCCACCUGCAGAAGGGAUUCCAGCAUUGCCGCGUGGGCCUCCGCGGACGCAUUCCCUCCCCAGUGCUCAGCCCCAAACCCGUCUGGCCACCUGUGGGCCUCUGUCUGCGCAGCAGCCCCUCCGCCACACACCCGCCCGGCCUGGCCGGGCGCCGCGACGUCAUCGCCCGCGUGGGGACGAGGAGGGGGAGGGAAGAGGAGGGUUGGCGCGCCGGAGGAGGAGGAUGGAGAGGAGGACGAGGAGGAUCGGCGGCCGGGAGGAUGAGUAGGAGAAGGAAGGGGAGUGGGAGGAUCAUCGGCAAGCCAGAGGAGGCGGCCCGCGGCGCUUGAGUCGCCGGGUGGGCCGGGAGCCCGGAGAAGCGCUUCGGUGCCUGGCCUGGGCGCCAGCCGGCCCCGCCCCCGGGCACGCUCCCGACUCCGCCCCCGAGAUCGCCCCGCCCCGGCUCCGCCCCCGGACGCGUCCCGGCCCGCCCCGCCAUCUGCGCUCGGUCGGCCGGCCUGGGAGCUUGGGGCUGCCGCGGGCUCCGGGGGUCGGCGAGACCGUGGACCUGCAUGCGCCUGGCGGCCUGGAGUGCCCCUACCCGCUACCCAGUGUCCUCAACAGAAGGCAGCAGGCUCCUCCUCCCACGCCAGGCCUUCUGCCAAACCAGAACCAGAGCCCCAGCUGGCCACACUCAAAGUGCUUUCCCCACCCACCACCACAGGCCUCUGCCCAGGGGAGGGUCCAGCUGCAGGGGACUGGGCAGCCCCCAGGGACUCACGCCCACCCGGCUGACACUGGCCUGUGGUUCCCGCCGGUGUGGCUAGUGUGUCGCUGAGCCUGUUUCCCAGCCGCAGAUGGGGAAUGAGCAGAUACUCAGAGGUCCUUGUCUUCCGUGUCAAAUAACAUACAGAAUGGGAGGCGCCCCUCGCCCUCCCCGCACAGAAGCUUCUGAG
rnacentral:lncRNA from 1 species